rnacentral:rRNA from 3 species
UGGUGGCGAUAGCGAAGAGGUCACACCCGUUCCCAUUCCGAACACGGCAGUUAAGCUCUUCAGCGCCGAUGGUAGUUGGGGGUUUCCCCCUGUGAGAGUAGGACGCCGCCA